rnacentral:tRNA from 1 species
GCGUCCGUAGCUCAGAUGGAUAGAGCGACGGACUUCGAAUCCGUAGGCCGCAGGUUCGAGUCCUGCCGGACGCA